UGCCCUGUAGUUUAAAUGAAAAAAAAAUUUUGGUCUUGUAAAUCAAAGAUGCUUUUAUAGGCUAGGGUUG
rnacentral:tRNA from 1 species